rnacentral:misc_RNA from 1 species
GUUGAUCUUCAAAACCCUGGUUUAUUUUCAAGGACUUCAACUCCGCCUCCCCAAUCCAGUUCCUCUGUUCACCACGAGCCCUACGAUCCCUUUGUUUUUCUCCAGAAUCAUUUACGGGGGAUCUUCGAAAGUGGUGCUGAUGUUGUGUUUGAAAUUCCGCGCCAUUCUUCCCAUUCUGGUGUUUCAAUGCCUCAAAAUUUUGGCGAUUACUUCAUUGGACCAGGCCUCGAGCAGCUCAUUCAGUUGCUGGCUGACAAUGAUCCGAACCGAUAUGGAACUCCGCCGGCUUCAAAAUCGGCGAUUGAAAAGCUUUCGACUGUGACUGUAACAGAGGUUCUUCUGAAUUCGGAAAU